rnacentral:lncRNA from 1 species
CUUGGUUACAAUAAUCACAUUAUUUCCCUCCCUCCCCUCCACUCACACUUCCGGCAGCUGACGCGCAAUUUCAUUGGGUAUUACUUGUGUCCUUGAUCAGAACCUCUUUCCAUGUUGUUGUUUGCACUAGGAUGUUCAUUUAGAGUCUACAUCCCCAAGCAUAUCCCUUCAACCCAUGUAUUCAAGCAGUUGUUUUUCCCCUUUUUUUUUUUUUUUUUUUUUU